rnacentral:rRNA from 1 species
GAUGAACGCUGGCGGCGUGCCUAAUACAUGCAAGUCGAGCGAACGGACGAGAAGCUUGCUUCUCUGAUGUUAGCGGCGGACGGGUGAGUAACACGUGGAUAACCUCCCUAUAAGACUGGGAUAACUUCGGGAAACCGUAGCUAAUACCGGAUAAUAUUUUGAACCGCAUGGUUCAAAAGUGAAAGACGGUCUUGCUGUCACUUAUAGAUGGAUCCGCGCUGCAUUAGCUAGUUGGUAAGGUAACGGCUUACCAAGGCGACGAUGCAUAGCCGACCGGAGAGGGUGAUCGGCCACACUGGAACGUAGACACGGACCAUGCGCCUACGGGAGGCAGCAGUAUGGAAUCGUCCGCAAUGGGCGGAAGCCUUACGGAGCAACGCCGCGUGAGUGAUGGAGGUCUUCGGAUCGUAAAACUCUGUUAUGAGUGAAAAACAGAUGUGUAAUGAGCUGAGCACAGCGUGACGGUACCUAAUCAGAAAGCCACGGCUAACUACGUG